rnacentral:tRNA from 2 species
GGCCCGGUGGCAGAGUGGUUAUGCAGAGGACUGCAAAUCCUUCCACGGCGGUUCGAUUCCGUCCCGGGCCUCCA